rnacentral:tRNA from 1 species
AAGAUGCUAGUACAAUAGAUACUACAAUGCCUUGUCAAGGCAAAAAUGCGGGUUCAAUCCCCGCGCACCUUA